AGAGUUUGAUCCUGGCUCAGGAUGAACGCUGGCGGCAUGCCUAAUACAUGCAAGUCGAACGAGAGGAAGGAAAGCUUGCUUUUCUGAAUCUAGUGGCGAACGGGUGAGUAACACGUAGGUAACCUGCCCAUGUGCCCGGGAUAACUUCUGGAAACGGAUGCUAAAACCGGAUAGGUAGCAGACAAGCAUUUGACUGCUAUUAAAGUGGCUAAGGCCAUGAACAUGGAUGGACCUGCGGUGCAUUAGCUAGUUGGUGAGGUAACGGCCCACCAAGGCGACGAUGCAUAGCCGGCCUGAGAGGGCGGACGGCCACAUUGGGACUGAGACACGGCCCAAACUCCUACGGGAGGCAGCAGUAGGGAAUUUUCGUCAAUGGGGGGAACCCUGAACGAGCAAUGCCGCGUGAGUGAGGAAGGUCUUCGGAUCGUAAAGCUCUGUUGUAAGAGAAAAACGACAUUCAUAGGGAAUGAUGAGUGAGUGAUGGUAUCUUACCAGAAAGUCACGGCUAACUACGUGCCAGCAGCCGCGGUAAUACGUAGGUGGCGAGCGUUAUCCGGAAUGAUUGGGCGUAAAGGGUGCGUAGGUGGCAGAACAAGUCUGGAGUAAAAGGUAUGGGCUCAACCCGUACUGGCUCUGGAAACUGUUCAGCUAGAGAACAGAAGAGGACGGCGGAACUCCAUGUGUAGCGGUAAAAUGCGUAGAUAUAUGGAAGAACACCGGUGGCGAAGGCGGCCGUCUGGUCUGUUGCUGACACUGAAGCACGAAAGCGUGGGGAGCAAAUAGGAUUAGAUACCCUAGUAGUCCACGCCGUAAACGAUGAGAACUAGGUGUUGGGGGAAUAACUCAGUGCCGCAGUUAACGCAAUAAGUUCUCCGCCUGGGGAGUAUGCACGCAAGUGUGAAACUCAAAGGAAUUGACGGGGGCCCGCACAAGCGGUGGAGUAUGUGGUUUAAUUCGAAGCAACGCGAAGAACCUUACCAGGCCUUGACAUCCCUUGCAGAGGUAUAGAGAUAUAUCCGAGGUUAACAAGGAGACAGGUGGUGCAUGGUUGUCGUCAGCUCGUGUCGUGAGAUGUUGGGUUAAGUCC
rnacentral:rRNA from 1 species